rnacentral:rRNA from 1 species
UACGUAGGGGCCGAGCGUUGUCCGGAGUUACUGGGCGUAAAGGGCGCGUAGGCGGCCUUCUAAGUCAGACGUGAAAUCCCCCGGCUUAACCUGGGAACUGCGUCUGAUACUGGGAGGCUCGAGUAUGGGAGAGGGAUGUAGAAUUCCAGGUGUAGCGGUGAAAUGCGUAGAUAUCUGGAGGAAUACCGGUGGCGAAGGCGGCAUCCUGGACCAUUACUGACGCUGAGGCGCGAAAGCUAGGGGAGCAAACGGG